UAGGGAAUCUUCGGCAAUGGGGGGAACCCUGACCGAGCAACGCCGCGUGAGUGAAGUAGGUUUUCGGAUCGUAAAGCUCUGUUGUUAAGGAAGAACGAGUGUGAGAAUGGAAAGUUCAUGCUGUGACGGUACUUAACCAGAAAGGGACGGCUAACUACGUGCCAGCAGCCGCGGUAAUACGUAGGUCCCGAGCGUUGUCCGGAUUUAUUGGGCGUAAAGCGAGCGCAGGCGGUUAGAAAAGUCUGAAGUGAAAGGCAGUGGCUCAACCAUUGUAGGCUUUGGAAACUGUUUAACUUGAGUGCAGAAGGGGAGAGUGGAAUUCCAUGUGUAGCGGUGAAAUGCGUAGAUAUAUGGAGGAACACCGGUGGCGAAAGCGGCUCUCUGGUCUGUAACUGACGCUGAGGCUCGAAAGCGUGGGGAGCGAACAGG
rnacentral:rRNA from 2 species